GAAACUAAUCCUAGUCGGUUACAAUUGUCAUAGAUAGUUCGAUAUCAAUUCCUAUUCUAACCGAUAGAAUCCAGCUUGAUCUUCACGGCUUGUUCCCUUGCGCGAAACUCCAAGCUGUCGGAUCAAGCUUUGAGCUUGUCUCGUAAUGAGCCAAGUCUCCUGGCCUAAGUCUAGCCGUAAGGGUAUAGGGGUUUAUACCCCCACACUAGCUUUUAUGGAUCACUGUAGGUUAGAACAGCUCCGCCAACUCCAAACCCAAAAAAAAAAACUCCACUCCAUCAAUUCCAAGCCAAGCACUCUAGUUCCAUAAACUCUAGAUAAAAAAGGCCCCAUAGUCAUUUUAGUCCCAUGGUCCAAAGUUUGGUUUCAUCACUAGACUAUGAAAAUGGUGGCUC
rnacentral:lncRNA from 1 species